UUCCUCACGAAGCAAUCUCCAAUCCCGCACGCAAGACGCAACCUCGUCGUCGCAUUGCUCUCCUCAACAACCGCUACGCGUCCACGCGCCGCUACCUCCGCCACUUCUCCUGCGCUUUCUCUGCCCCGUUCACCUCUGCCCUGCGCCGCCUCCUCCUCUGGAGAAGGAGCAUGGCGCCCGUCGCUGUGCCUGGUGGGGAUCCGGCGCAUCCCCUCUCCACUCACCUCCUCCUCUCCUGGGUCCCUGUGUUGCCGUCUCAGGUGCUUCUCCUGCGUCUUCUCCUCCUAGCUGAGUCCUCGACCAGAUCAGCGUCCGUCGUAGGAGGCUUGGGUGGUCGCAGGUUCGGGCGCAACUCCUUCCUUCCCGUACGCUAGGAUCAAACAGCCCGUGAGCCUGGCGGUGCCUGCCUGGAUCCGGAGGUAGAUGGACUAGAUCCUAGAGCUGGGCAUGAAGGAGCUCGAGGUCGACGACUCCGGCUUCGUCCUCCUCCUCUGAUGUCGUCACCUUGCCCGGGUCCAACACACCUAUCCAUCGCCCCAAUUUUUAUCAUUUCGUCGUGAUUACCAAUCCGCGCCAUCCGUAGUGUGUGCCUUCUGCCCUUCUCACCACUCUGAACUCGGAGGCGGUGGAAAUUGGGUGGGGAAGGUUUUCGAGCUCAAAAUUAAACCCGGUUCUAGAAUAGUAGAAGCUGGUGCUGGGAUGGUCGGUAGGCAGUGGCACUCUUAGGUUUCCAUUGCUUCAAAUCUAUUUGGUUUUAGGUGAUUUGGCACCCAAAACUCACAACACUGUUGCUACACAUCAGUUCAAGAAUCAAGGCAAAUAGCGGUAUUUCCCUUUGGGGUGAAUGGACGAACUGAUUAUGGGAAGACGAACCAAGUAGUUUAUACAGUACUCUCAAUUUUUCACACUUCCAGUGAAUUAAACUGAUGAUUUAGAUGUGACUUCUCUCCUUCGUACAUUGUUUGGGGGUUUGGUUUGAGAAGUGGGUUGCAGCACUCAUGAUUUUGCUUGUUUCGGGGAUGGAAUGAAUUGGGCAUCAACAUCACGCACGCACGCAGCACGCACGCACGCACGCACGCACUAGAAACCAGAGAGAAUUAAACAGAUAGGGUUUUGAAAUUGACUCGGUAGCUGAAUCAUGGUCCAUGAAUUUGUGUAAAACGACAAGUGCGCUACUGAAUUAAAAUUCUACCUGUUCAUUCCACUGCCCAGUUACCAUCUGAAAGGUUCUAUUUUGCCACGGCAACUCUAAUUAGAUUGUUAUAGUUCGGACUAAGGGGAUCAAGAUUAGUCAUCUGUUACCAUGUACUGUGAACCUCAACACUAGCUGAGUAGCUACGUAGCUAAUCAUUGAUCUUGUCUUGGGUGGAAGGGUGGCGUUUGUUAAUUCAGAUACUGAAAGGUAACCCACACUGACUUUAUUUGUUUACUUUCCUUAUGAACCCUUAUUUGCUUAGCUUCUGUUGAUGAUAUUUCUAAUCUUUUAUCUUCGUCGGUAAACUCAACUGCAUCUCAGUUUUCUGUUCCCGUUUCCUGGAUUGGGGGUCCUGGUGCGCAAGAUUCUUCUGUUUGCUACGGCGCACGCAGACCUGGAUGACACCAAGCAUUGACGUGUGCACGUUCGUCGCAACAGCCACACCUCAACCCUCCCGACGCACACAAUAAUUAGCGGUGCCAAAAUGAUUUGGUGUUUGCAAGGGGUCUGCUUUUGUUGCAUUUUCUACACGUGAGAAACCAUCUCAGGCUAUUUGGAUGCACCUGCACAGUACUGAUAGUACAUGAAAUUCAUCAACCUGCUGUUGCCGCAACCAACCAAAGUUUGCUCUAACAGAGUGAUGAAUACAAAUAUUCAUGCUAAGCUUUCUUCAAAUUAUGCUAAUUGAUCUUAAAAAACUGGCUACUGGUGUUAUUGCUACAAUUUAUUUCUGACAGCCAGGUAGUCUUGGUAUGCUUUCGUGAUGCAAUUUAUUUCUGACAGACAAACUAUGCUAAUUGAUCUUGAAAAGCUGGCUACUGGUGUUAUCUGCUUUGUGGAAGGCUGUUGGCAUUAAACUUUAGUGCUCGGCUGUCCAUCAUAGUAUCAUUUCCUCGAUAAUUAAUGAGGCAUGAAAAAUAGGUGAAAUUGCAGGAAAAUUGAAGAAACGGAGGAACACGAUUCAUUUUGUCAAUGGGAACAUCUACUGUUACAGAUACACUUUCUGUACUCUACCUAUCGAUGGCACAAUGUUUGAAUAUUAAGUCAUUUAAUUUUGUCAUUAACAGGUUUAUUUAUGUUCAUACUCCACGUAUGCACGUGCUGCUCCAGUGGUGUUUUGUUAUUUGAUUGGCAUAAAUGGAUCUCUCCAUGUUUAUUGGUUGAUCUCCAACCCCUACUCUGCUGUGGUGCUGUGGGAGCAAGAAGAGCAUGCAUGCUUUCUCUCUACAUCUAGGGUCCAUACGGCCAGAUUGACGGGCCUAAACUCUGGCUCAAAGGUUUCUUUCAAGAAUCAAGAGAGAACAUUCAAGGAGUGGAUUGUUUGGAAAUUAAAACCUUCAGAUUUCUUAGAACUUCACUUGGAUUUAUGUGAAUAUAAGCGUAAGAUGUCUAGUGGCAAUGCUACAAAAUCAUUGCAGGCGUGACUCGUGAGUAUCCGGAUUGCACUGCUGCUGGCCGUUUCUUGCAACUGCGCACAACAGGCUUCUGACAAAGCCAAGUCAUGGACUCAUGAGGUCCCUUUUUUCAGCCAAACUGAAAGCACUUCAUGUUAGCUUGUAUUCGAUGUUGGAUUAACUACAAUGCAUUGUACCCAUCCAUGCUCCAGGGAUCUCCACCGUACUUACGAAAGGGUAAGAAGAGAAACUCUAUAAGGACGGAUUCUAACAAGAUCGAGCACUAAACGGUUAAUCUCUGGGGAAGAAGCAUAAGUACCUCUCGAAUUGAAAGUUAAGAAGAUAUCGAGAGCAAAGUAAGAAGGUACCAUGAGAAGUUUCAAACGGAUAGGCAUUCUUUCGAUGCCUAAUCAGAAGGUGAAAGCGUUUCAGGGCAACGAGAAUAAGUAUUGCGUCUGAUACCCGAAUAGAUCACUUGGCAGGUGGCCCGUGAGUCACAUAAGAAGUCAAGCGCGAGGAAUAACUUUGGAAAACCGGGGGUGUACAGGAGAGUCAGGUUUCGAUCCUGUGGAACUGUGGGUUAUGGGCCCACCAUGUGGGUUAAAGUAGGAAGGGCGGUGAGUGCACGAUCAUGUAAGCGAGGCAUGUCAGGGGAUAGCCUAUUAGUUAUGUCGGCAACAACAUCGGUACCAAGGGCGAGGGACGAAGAG